CUAGGAUUUAGUAGAUGCCUUAUAUCUGAUGCAGUUGUACCAUGACAAGUUUCUAACUGCUAUGAAUUGACUUCAAAUAAAAGUUUAUAUCCUUUUAGAAUAAAAUACUAGAGAUAUUAGCAAUAAGGUAUAGAAAAAUUCUAUGAGAGCGACAAUGUACUCAAAAAACAUAAUUGUUUUUGUGUUGUUUAUCAUUAAAAAGAGGAAUUUUAUAAAUAUUAUGAUAUAAGAGAAAUGAAAAAAAGGAGAGGUAUGAGUAGGUGAAAUAGGCUAGAACAUGUUAGUGACCAAUCUUCUUGUUCACUUUUUACUGUGAUGAUUGUUUGAUAUCGAAACAUAGUCUUAACCUUCGAGAGAAAUAAAUUUGAAUUAUCAUAAUAACAGAUUCAAGAGUUUUAAAGAAAGUUUAAUUAUCUAAACAUUAUGUAAGAGGGGAUUGAAGAUACAAGGAAAAUACGCACAUAAAAUAGGUGAUAGUUAUGAGAUGGUAGGUGUGAUUAAGGGGUUAAUUUAUCUCAUUAAUAACAUAUUAGUUACUCUAGCUAGGAAAAAAAUACGGAAGAUUGUAGAGUCUAUCAAACUUUUAAGAACAUGACAUAAAUAGUGUAUGAAUUCCUAAUGUACUUUUUGAUAAAUAUUUCGAUUCAUCACUUAGAAGUGGAUAAAGUUGCCUUUAAGAUUAUAUUGAAGGUCUAUGUUGGAAAACCGAAUUAAUCACUGCAAUAGUUUAUUCUUUUUUCCUUUUUGGAAGCAUUUUUAUAUUUGAUAAGAUUAGAUAAAUUAUUUUGGAGGAAGUGAUAUUAUUUGAGAUAAUAUUGUUAUUUAUUGGAAGUUUAGUUUUUUAUCUAUAUUGGUGAUAUAGUUAGAUUUUAAACACUUUAAUCGGUACAAGUAAUUAUUAUUGAUAGGUUAUAUUGAUAUCUGUUUAUGUAUAAAUAUGUGUAUAUAUAUAUAUAUGUUUUGAAUAUUGGUAUUUAGUUUCUUAAUUGGAUUGUGCAAAGUUAGCUAUGAAAAUAUAAUUAUUUAUGUUUCCUUAGUCCUGGAUUCUAGAUAUAACCCUUAUUCCUCCAAUAGAUUAUUGAAUAAAUAAAUAAGAUUAUUUUUGUAUAGCAUAGUGUGAUAUUAUGGUUGAUUAUUAGCAAGAAUAAAUUAUGUUAGUAUAAACUUUAAGUUAUAAUCUAUUUUUAAGAGCUACGUGGACCUGAUCCUCUAUUGGAGGUACGUAGGCAGCCUUUGGGUGCGGUCGAAAUAUAAUAUAUGUUAAGACUUUAAUUAGCAAAUAGUAGCGAUGUAAAUUCAAGCCAUAUUAACAGAUUUUCAUGUUGAAUAAAUUACUUAUUGGAAAUUUAAUAAGUUUAAUAUGACUAAAAUAAUUAACAUACAUAUAAUUAUAUUUAUAAGAGUAUAGAUAAAAAUAAAGCCACAAAAGAAAUCACUGAAUUAGAUAAGAUAUAGGAGAACAAUUUUCAUAAAGAGACCAUGAGUGAAUUAGACCCUUAAUAUUGCCAAAACAUUACUAUAACUUAGGAUAGAAGCAUACAGAAGUACCUAAAAUGAAUAACUUGGAAAGCUUGUCGAAGGAACGAAAAUUGGCAUGCGAAUAGGUGCAAUUUGUGAUAUAAAACAACAAUUGAAAGGCAGUGUCACCGUCAAGAUAUAAAACGUAAGUUGGCGUUUGAAAGGCAGUGUCGUAGUUCAGUUAUAAGGCAUAAAGGAAGUGUUGCACCUAUCCCAAAUUCUCAUUCUCUAGCACACUAAAUGAAAUUGUUUCUUGAAAAAAUAAAGAAUAGUGGCAUAAAAAUCCAAAAUUUUAUUUCUUGGCACAAUAAAUUAGGAUUUAAAAAUAUUUGGCGAUUCUUUACAAAUUUGAAUUGAAAGUGGGGGAGCAUCUGUCGGUACCAGGCCAUAUUGUAUUUUUAUAUUACUUGAUGCUGGACUCUACUCUACACCUUGGAUAACCAAGGCGAGGUAUUAAUCCUUGGUUAAUUAAGGUAAAAUUCUUAAAUGGUGUAGAAAAACCUAAAACGCUCUCAUCGACGCCGUCGCUCGCUGCCGAAUUUAUUUUCCCGACUUCGUCCUUCGCACAAAAAGUUGGCCUUCUCGCUUCACCACCAUUUUGGCCUCAGAAAAGGAGAUAUUGCCUUCGUGCUUUCUCCUAACUCUAUUCACCUUUCGGUCCUUUCUUUCUAUAUCCUCUCUCUCGGUGUCGUUACCUCUCCUAAAAAAUCAAUUAUCUUUAAACCUGAGAUUCUCCUCCAAAUUCAGCUGUCGAAACCUGUACUUGUGUUCGUCACGUCGAAUGCUGCUCAUACAAUUCCUAAUCUCAAAACAAUCGUACUCGACUCUCCCGAGUUUGAAUCGCUGAUGAUGAGUCUAGCUCACUGUGGAGAAAUGGAAGGAGGGAGGGUUUACCAAUUGGACCCUGGGACAAUUCUCUAUCCUCACGGACUACUGGUCGAGUUAAUGGAGUGAUUUUGGCUCAUCGAAAUUUCAGAUACAUGGUGGCCCUAAGUCAUGCGGUUUGCACGAGCUGGAUGGUAGCUGCAACUUUCCAUUUUUUCGUUGCCUUAUUUUCAUGUUUAUUGUUUAUGUUAUUCCGUGAGAGGUUUAACUAUGUGAGUGGCGGUGGUGUGCAUAGGCAGAUUUGGUAUGAAGACAAUGUUGAUAGUAAUUUAGGAGUGUAAGAUAGACUGCACCGGUGGUGGUGCUGAUAACUAAGGAUCCUAGGUUGUUAGACGGCAAAGAUUUUAGCUCUCUAGAUGUUGCAGGUUGCAGCGUUGCUUCGCUUAGAAAAAGCGUAGUUGAAUUGUUCCGUGAACAAUUUCGAAAUUUCACUUUAAGUGAGGUUAGUUAAACACCAAACUUGGAUUUUUGCCAUUAACCGGUGGUUAAUUUCUCAUAUUGGCUAUUCAAUGUGUAGCGUAUGAUCCACCAUUAAGUAAUAAAAAAAUACAGAUGGAACGUCACGUUAGCUACCGGCAAAUGCUCCCCCACUUUCAUUUCAAAUUUGAAUUGAAUCGCUAAAUGUUUUUAAAUCCUAACUUAUUGUACCAAGUAAAAUCAUUUUAAUUAAAAUGCAAAAAUUCAUAAAGGUUUAAAUUUUUUAUGCCAUUAUCCAAAAAUAUAUUAAAUGUCAUGAAAUACAUGAUAAUAGUUAAUUGACAAAAUAAGAGAAGCACCAUGGUACUUUUCCAUUUCGGUUAGUUAAAUAACCUUAUAGGGGUGUUGGAGUUAGUGGUAUUAGAGCUAACGUUUAGGCCUUUCUAGGUGUUAAGGAGAAGGAACAAGUAUAAGCAAAUAUGUAUAUAUAACUCUACUAUAGGCUUUUGUAAGAUAGCUAAGAAUGUUAUUUGACAUUCAACCUGUCUUAGAAGAUAGAGGUGAUAGUCUAAAGUCGUGAUCUCGAUAAUCUAUUCAACGCUACCAAGGUUUGUAUUGUAAGCUGCAGAUUACAUUAUGGACAUUGGAGCAUUGAGUGGAAAUUGUGUGCAUCACUUUUAAGAAUCUGCUAGGAUAUAGUAGAUGUCUUAUAUCUGAUGCAGUUGUACCAUGACAAGUUUCUAACUGCUAUGAAUUGACUUCAAAUAAAAGUUUAUAUCCUUUUAGAAUAAAAUACUAGAGAUAGUAGCAAUAAGGUAUAGAAAAAUUCUAUGAGAGCGACAAUGUACUCAAAAAACAUAAUUGUUUUUGUGUUGUUUAUCAUUAAAAAGAN
rnacentral:lncRNA from 1 species